CUUUUCCUGGUCCUAAAUUCAUUGCCAGUUCCCCAGUCUGCAGCAAAUGUGCCACGUCAAGACUGGAAAUCACAGCCCUUGAGUGUGUCUCAGUCAGCGCAGCAGAAUUCAGGGGGGAAAGCUGAAUGCAACCCCUGGUGCAGGAAGGGAGGCUUUUCCUGAGGACCGGGAGAGGAUUUUAAGUACAUAGAAGGAAGCUUCUGGAGAUCCUGCUCCGUCGCCCCAGUGUUCAGACUACCUGUUCAGGACAAUGCCGUUGUACAGUAGUCUGCACAUUGGUUAGACUGGGCAAGGGAGAGCAACGCCAUGGACCGCUGGGGACAAAAUGGGCUGUUUCCAAGGAGAAGACAUUUGUUUGCUCCUUUUUUGAAUCUCAUAUCCAGUGUUUUUCUUCACAGGUUUUGCACACUAGGGACCAAGAAGCCCUCGGGGACACUGCUGAGAAAAGACUGCCGAAGGGAAGACCAGCGGGUAAGGCCUUCUUGACUGCUCACCUGGUCUGUGACCAAGGGAACCUAGGUGGGGAGCCCAUGAUUUGUGUUAACAUGCAAGGGAAACAGAGGUACAUGUGUGAUGGGUAGAGAUGUAUUUAAUUUUAAAAGAGCAAAAGUGUGUGGUAUAUAGCGAUUUACUGUUUUUUUUUUUUUUAUUUCUGAAGAUUGAUAAUUCAAGUGUUUUCUUAAAGGUUUUCCCACUUCAAAAUGAAAUAUGAAAAAACUCAUUCCAGACACUUAAGAAUAGUUUAAUGAGGCUACUUUUGAAUUGUUUAAUAAUAAUUCAAAGAUUUAAAAACUUAUAUGGAUGAAGGCUGUAUGUAUAACUUUUAACAUCCCAGGACUGAAGUCAUUUUUCCCCAAAGUAAAGAAUACUUGCUGGUUUUUAAAUGCUAUAUGGAUAGUGCUUUUCUGAAGAUUUCCUUCUGUAAUAUAAACAACAGGAAUAAUAGUACCUAACAAUAAAAGAAGAACCUGCCAAGUCUUGCCUACCAGACAAUGCAGAUGGGAUUUGCCCAGAGAAGAGCACCGACCCACAACUUAUUGAGUCAGCAACUGAGUAAAUCAGGGAAUAAAAACCUCUAUCUUUAGAUACCCCUGUAAAUAUCUGUUUUACAUUUUUUUUAAAUCAAAGAGUGGUUAAUAAUUGCUGCUCAGCUGAGCCCUCUUGCCUAUAGCUUACAAUGCUUCCACUUCUCUGAGCAUUUAAAAUAAGGCACUUUGUCUAGAAACCCACUGAUAAAAAAGGAAUUUGUAAACGAAGGCAGAAGUUUUCUUUGGUCAGUUUCCAGCUGUCCUGGAGGUGAAAGAGGGUGGGAGAGGGGGAGGAAGGUGGGAGGGAAGAAAACCCUCAAGCUGAAUGAAAUCCUAAUAGAGAAAAUAAUAGAGCAAGUCUGGAUUGCAAUGUGAUCUGUGCUGAACUUUAGAGGUCGGCCCCUUAAAGAAAGUUCUGGAAAAAUGUUAUUGCCUCAUCCCUAAUUUUCUUAACCCCCAUUAAUUUCUAUUCCGAAACAAUUCUAUAUAAUGAAAACAUCUCUUCUACAGGGUUUGUGAAAAAUAAACAUAAUCUCUUUUGUCCUCCUUUAAAGUUACAGUGGUUCCUGAACAAAUUCUUUUCUAAGUUAUACAUUUUGCAACAAUUCAAAAAUUGACUCAAGUUCUCUUUAGCAAAAUAUUUUAUUAUAAAAGAUUCCCUAAGUUUUCUUUUGUCAAAACAACUUACUUUAAAAAUUACCCUUCUGAUCACCCCAAAAUGUGUAUAAAGAAAACAUUAAGUAUUCUCAUAUAUUCAUGAUUAUUAGUUAAAAUAUAAACAGCAAGGAGAAAUUUAGCUACUUUCACUUAGAUGAUAUAGUAAAGUUAUCCUUUCAUUUUCUAUUGUGACUUGGAGAGUUCCAUAUUAAUUAUUUUUAGUAGAACAAAUGAGAUGUUAAAAAUCUAUAUAGUUUCUUUUACAUAAGAAAACUAAAAAAAGUAACUUAGAGGAGCUCAUUUUUUCAAGAAAUAUAUUUUUUCUAAUUGAUACAAUUACUGAAGAGGAAAAAUAGCUAACAAGGUACUUUGGUAAUGUUUUUCUCAAAUUUUCUGGGUUUUUUUUUUUUUUUUACUCUAGAAAUGAUUACAUUUCAAAAUUUGCUUUCAUUUAAUGUAUAUUUAAUUUCAAUUUCUUUCUUCAUGUUAAACGGUCUUUUUGUUUCAAAGAAAUGAAUCCCUAUGGGUCCCUCACCUAUUUUCUCCCUCAGGAUGACUUUUAGUCUGGAGAUAGAAGGGACAUAAGGGUGCCUCUGGCAUAAGUACAGGAGUAGAAAUAUAAGAAUUACUUUGUAAAAGGAUAACCAAGGAGUUCCUGCACAUGCUUGAUGUGGCUCUAGCGACUUAUUUUCGAGGCAAAGUUUUAACAAAUGAAAACGAAUAGUACUUAUUUUUCAAUUAUAUGGGCUAAAUUAAAGAUCAAAGGUAAAAGCUCAUUUUAUAAAGCUCUGCUGAAUGAAGGCAGGAUUGUAGUUUAUGCGCUGGUACACACGCCCACAUUUAUAUACAUUAUAGCCAUAUCUAUAUCCAGGUAAAUUAGAAAAAUGUUUAAUUUUAUUUUCAUAUUACUUUAUAAGGAGAUAUACAAAUAUUUUAGGGAUCAUGGAAUCUAUUCCAGAGGAAACUAACCAACAGUGAGCAUCUUCAACUAAAACUACCCCUGGAUGUAAUAAGUGUAAGUAUUAAAAUUAAACAUUAUAUGUGGUCAUGAAGAGAAAAUUGUUUCAGGGUCUGUCCAAACUACACUUCAUAGAAAUUUCAUAAUUAUUUUUCAUUUUAGCAUGUGAAUGAUUGAUAAAUUGGACUAGGUACUGGGUUAAAAGGACUUUUCCACCAUCUAAGAGAAAGGAAGUUCAGAGCCUUAGCUUCAACACCACAAUUUCUUAACUGGAAAAGGAUCAAUCUAAAACGGUGGACUUAAAUUUUCAAACUCAUUUUUCUUUUAGGCCACAGAUCUCAAAAUCAAAGAAAGACUGUUUACUAUAGGACAAAGUUUCACACUGAUCACUUUCCUGUAGUUAGUCAAUAGGCUUAAUAUCCUUCCUGCUUGGCAUUCGGGCUUUCGGCCCAGAUAAUAUGUUUAUGUUUGUAAAAGACCAAAAUAUACUAUCUACCCCCACCUCUCGCCUACAGACCACCCAUGUAUUUCACUCUGUGGGAAACAGUUUAGGCAUAAAAAUCCUAACGAAAGAAUUCUCCCCACUUUUUUGGUUGAAGUCUUAAGCUGUUAUAAGAUAUAAAAAGUACAACUUGGUAAUGUGAAAAAAUUCACUCAUCCACAAGCAUCCAUGCUCGGUAAAGAGACGCCAAAGCUUUCACUUACUCUGUAAGGGAUCUGCUCUUUAUAAACAAUGCACUUUACUCUGCUCUAAGGAGAAUAGCCCACCCAUCACAAUAACGUCAAAAUAAUAACUAAGAGACCAUCACUCAGAAAUCCUGGCUUAAAAUAACUAGAAGGUCAGGCUUUAACCUGAGACAGGAAAUUCCUGAGUUAAGAUAGAAACUUUCUUACUUCAAAUCCCUUCUUACUUUCAUGUUCUGUAAAUUAAGUAGAAAUAAAUAUUUACUCAUUUUCAAAGGUCUCUUACAAAUAAUUUUUAUCAGUUUUAAUAGUUAGAGAUAACGAAGUAAAUUAGGAAAAAUAAUUAAAUCUUCAUUUUGAAUUUUUUGACUUAGCGUGACAGCCAGUUUCCUGGAGUUGCUUUGGUUUAAUUUCACUACAGAAGACUUAGAAGACAAUUCUUUUCUUACAUUUUUUUCCUUAAGAAAUAAAAGACAAAAAGAAAACAAGGUGUAAUAACCACACUAAAAAUUACAUGGUAUGAUAAUAAUACAAAUAGCUCUUUUAUGUUUUAGCUAGUAUUUUAAGUAAUAAUAAACUAAUAUUCAACCUAUAAUUUGGGAGAUUAAAAAAAGGUCAAUAUGGUUUUCAGUCUUUCAUCUUUUUAACAAGUUUAGGGGCAGGUUCAACAUAACAAUGAAGUGUGCAUAUGUCACAUAGUUACUGUAAGUGUGUUUUAAAAAUCUAUCAGAAACAUAAAUUGUCCAAAAGCCUUAUGAAUAGAACAAUUGUUUUCAGCAAGAUUUUUUUUUUCCCCUGAAAAACUGUUGUGGUUUUUCUGGCUCAAAAAAUUUUUAUAUCUUGCCUUAAUAAAACUGUUUUAUAUUAAAGCAUAACAUACAAACUCACAAAUAUUUCUUUUUAUUUUUUCAGGUUGCAUGCAUCAUUCCUUUAAUUGAGCAGAGUUAACUGGAUCAAAUUAUUUAUGGGAGAGAGAGGAAAAGUUAUAAAGAAUUAUAGUAAUUUUUAAUUUCCACCAAUAUACUCUUUGUAAGUGAAUCACUCUAUAAUUACUUUCUGUUGCACUGAAUGCAGCAACAAUAACACAAUAGUAUUUUAAGGCACUGGUUUUUGGCAUACUCUAACCUUGUAAUUAUUUAAAUAACAGCCAAGUUUACUCAUGUUUUUGAUUCUGUCAAGAAAAAAAAAAAGUUCCUUUACUCGAAAGUGAUGGCCGAAACAGAAUCGGAAAUUUGUUUUCUUGAAAUUACAUAAAUACACAGAAAAUGGCACUUAUUAGCUUUUGUUAAAACAUUACCUUACCUAAUCACUGCAUAAAAGUCCAGAUUUGUAGAAAAUUGUAAUUUUCUCAGUAUCUAAAACUAUUUUGCUUUCCAUUAAGUUUCUAUUUGCUAUUUUCUCAGAAUUUUACAAUUAAAGAUAAAUCACAAACUGUUUGUUUUUCUUAAAGUUCUUUGAGAAAAUGUCUAAUUAUACAAUCCUUGGACAAUACUGUGUUUUUUUGGUGCUGUGUUUUUUAAGAAGUCCUACUUACUGGAAUUUUGACUAUUUGGAUAUUUUUGUUUUUAAAAGGGGAGGGGAAUUUGCUUAAUACUUCUAAAGAUGUGAAUUGAUAAUUGAUAUUAAAAUAGAAUUACUCUCAACUCACCAGAAUUAAAUUUUAUAUCUGCAUAUUUAACACUAUUAGCUCAUAUAAAUUAUAAGAAAAAUUUUCAAAGGAUCUGGUUUUAAUUUUUUGGAUAUGAAAUGAAUUUGCCUUUUCUGCCUUUUCUUAAGUACUAUUUUGUAACUAUAUUGCACUAACUAUAUCCAAAACACAUUCUGAGCAUCACUGUGAGUAACAGCCUUCCAGUUUGUACCCUUUUGAUUCACAGCAUGGCCCUAUAGUUAAUUAAGAGGUGGAUAACUUAAGCUCACAACUGCCUUUAAUUUGAUUUCACAUCCACAGUUAUAAACUUUGCAUUUAAAAGGAAAAUGAGACAUUUAAAUAGGUUCCUGUUGUUUCACAUAUAAUUGGUAAAAACAUAUUCCCUUGUAGGAUCCUAUUAUCAGAGCAUCAAAUACCAAAGUCAGCAACUUGGGUUGCCAAAUAAAUUAGGCUCAUUAAUUAUUUUGAAAAGGGCUGCUGUUUCCAUGUAAAUGAUAAUUUUCUUUUUCAUGGACAAGGUUAUGGUACUUAUCUACUAAAAGAAACAUGCAUAAACAUAGUUUUUAUCUUUAACUUCAGUAUUAAAAUAUGCAGUUUUUUGCAAAGAGGAAAAACAUCUGGUUCAAUUACGCUGAACUCUGACUACAUGUGGGCCAGUAAUAAUAUGAAUUGGACUUAAGAAUAAACCUUGUGUUUAAUCUCUUUUUUUCCUUAAAAUUUUAAUGUGAGUUUUCUGUUACGCAAAUUAUCCAUGUUAGCACAUUUGGAACAAAUGUAUAAAUGUACUUUCUGAAUAAAGUCAAAAGUCUAACUUGUUUUUAGUUCCAUAAUGUUUUAAUGUUUAAUUAUAUUGUGUAUUUUUCUCCCUUUCCCCUUACUCUCCAAAAUCACCAAAUCUGGAAAACAGGCUGAUUGUAUCUGUCUAUGAGCAAAGGAAACCUGAAGGAACCAAGGGCCUGGCUGGACAGAGUUGUCAUGUGUCUGCCUGUCUACACUUGCUGUGCAGAACAUCCGCUCACCUGUACAGCAGGCACAGACAGGCAGUCACAUGACAACCCAGCCUGAAUGACAACCAGCCAUUGAAAGAAAGCAGCCCUCACACCAUAGCAUCUACACCAAGAGCUACAACCAAAAUGAGGGGCUCGGGGGCCUGGGGUUUUAAUCUGUUGGUUUAAUACUUAACUCAUGUAUUAUUUUAUUUUGAUUCAAGUAUUAAAACCCACCAAAAGUAAAGUGAGUGGUGCCUAUGAAAUAUAAUAAAACCCAUUUCUGAAAAU
rnacentral:lncRNA from 1 species